CUCGUCAGCUCCCAGAAGUUAAGUUACUUCGAUUCCCGUUAGUACUUGGAAGGGUGACCGCUUGGGAAUACGGGAUGUCGUUGGCG
rfam:Daphnia pulex DAPPTscaffold_386_Cont9244, whole genome shotgun sequence.